GACAAGCUUUCAGGGGGUUCUAUUUCUAUCGAAGAAAGACAGCACCAAAAGGCGUCCAUGGUCUUGUCCUCACAUCACCUCUACCAGUUUGAUCUCUCAUGUCAUGCUUGAGCCCAGACACAAGGUUUCUCCUAGCCAAACUGGCCAGCCCAUCCAUCAAGGACUGCUUGUGUGCUCCUGUCCUAUUGCAUACUCAGCCUGUUUCUCCACAUGUGAGGUCCAUCCUCUUCCCAGCCUUCUCACUACUUGGCAUUCACUAUACCACUUCCCUCAGAAGUGUUUCUAAGAGAUCAUAUGCAAAUGAGAAGGGAGAAGUUUGGAAGGAAAGUUACAGCUCUUCGCUCUUUGUAGCAUCUGGAUUGGGAUACUGAAGAUCAAUCAUGGGAGCAACAACACUGCCUUUAUUCACUGUCUGUCAACAACGUGGAACAGGUGGGAAUGAGUCUCAUCAUUAAUUAUACCUGACACAACCUCAACCCUGCCUUGCGUCAAUAGGAGUCUGUGAAGAGGUGCUCCAGCGGUUUAGAAACAUUUGAAGGGAGAUUUAAGACAUCAGGUAAUGUGAAAGAUGGGAGGGCGU